UGAAAGAAAAAAAAAUAAAAAAUAAAAAAAAUCUCUUAGGUGCUCUGCUAGGGUUUAACCCCUAGCGUCCUCGCACCAUUCUUCGCCGCGUGCUGCAACCCGAUCGUCAUCUCAGCCUCCGGCUGUGACAGAGGGAGGCUCGGUGAAGCAGGUAAGUGGUCUCUUCCUUUUUCCCUUCUUUUUAUUUUAUGAAAUAAUAAAUAUAUAUAUAUAAAAAUUGAUAAUGGACACAGCGAAAAUAAAAAAAACAAAUUACCUCUGAAAAAAACACAAGCUUUAUCUGUUUAUUCUCUCUGCUAUUCUUUCAAGUUCUUUUGUCUAUCUUUUUCCGUCCCUUUUACAGAUUUAGAUAGGCCUUUUAUAGGCUGAAAAACAAAAUAAAUUAGGUACAAAUUAUUUUCUUUGUUGUUUUUCCUUUCGGGACUCUUUGGAUCUGUUUCUUUGCAGGUGUUGUGCGCGCGAAUGACGUGCGUGGAGAGGAGUCGGCCCCGAGUCGUGCGGUGCUUGGAGAGGCUGCUGGAGGCGGGGGACUACUUGUGGCGCUGAAGCAGAGAGGCUAGGGUUUCUGCUUAGUUUUUUUUAAUUGUUGGGCCAUUUAGUUUGUUGGGCCUGUAAAAAAAACUGGGCUACGCCCAACAUUUUAUUUGUGCGGGCCCGGGCUAAUUGGGUCUGCUACACAAAUUAUGGAACUUUUUAAAAGAAGAGUAAAAUGUUU
rnacentral:lncRNA from 1 species